rnacentral:rRNA from 1 species
UACGUAGGGGGCAAGCGUUAUCCGGAUUUACUGGGUGUAAAGGGAGCGUAGACGGCAUGGCAAGUCAGAAGUGAAAGCCCGGGGCUCAACCCCGGGACUGCUUUUGAAACUGCCGUGCUAGAGUGCAGGAGAGGUAAGUGGAAUUCCUAGUGUAGCGGUGAAAUGCGUAGAUAUUAGGAGGAACACCAGUGGCGAAGGCGGCUUACUGGACUGUAACUGACGUUGAGGCUCGAAAGCGUGGGGAGCAAACAGG